rnacentral:tRNA from 1 species
AAGCAAGAAGCGAAAAUCGCUACCAGUUUCGACCUGGUUUUAAGGUAGAUAAAUCUACCCUUACUUU